GACGAACGCUGGCGGCGUGCCUAACACAUGCAAGUCGAACGGGGCAGCAAUGCCCAGUGGCGAACGGGUGCGUAACACGUGAGGAACUUGUCCAUCGGCGGGGGAUAGCCAGCCCAACGGCCGGGUAAUACCGCGUACGUCGGCGAGACCGCAUGGUCUUGCCGGGAAAGCAGCAAUGCACCGAUGGAGAGCCUCGCGGCCUAUCAGCUAGUUGGUGAGGUAAUGGCUCACCAAGGCGACGACGGGUAGCUGGUCUGAGAGGAUGAUCAGCCACAUUGGGACUGAGACACGGCCCAGACUCCUACGGGAGGCAGCAGUGGGGAAUAUUGCGCAAUGGGCGAAAGCCUGACGCAGCGACGCCGCGUGUGGGAUGACGGCCUCGGUUGUAACGACUA
rnacentral:rRNA from 1 species